UAUAAAAUACAACAGAGCACAGGUGCCAAUGGAUUAAUGCCUAGUUUGACAGCAAAAUGUCCUUGGGGAAAAAAGUGUACCCACUGAAAUGUGCUCAUACUCGUAGAAAGUACUGGUAAUUUUAGUCGUGGAAAUGU